UUUCUUUGCUGGCGACCGGCGCACGGGUGAGUAACACGUAUCCAACCUGCCCUUUACUCGGGGAUAGCCUUUCGAAAGAAAGAUUAAUACCCGAUGGCAUAAUGAUUCCGCAUGGUUUCAUUAUUAAAGGAUUCCGGUAAAGGAUGGGGAUGCGUUCCAUUAGGUUGUUGGUGAGGUAACGGCUCACCAAGCCUUCGAUGGAUAGGGGUUCUGAGAGGAAGGUCCCCCACAUUGGAACUGAGACACGGUCCAAACUCCUACGGGAGGCAGCAGUGAGGAAUAUUGGUCAAUGGGCGCUAGCCUGAACCAGCCAAGUAGCGUGAAGGAUGAAGGCUCUACGGGUCGUAAACUUCUUUUAUAUAAGAAUAAAGUGCAGUAUGUAUACUGGUUUGUAUGUAUUAUAUGAAUAAGGAUCGGCUAACUCCGUGCCAGCAGCCGCGGUAAUACGGAGGAUCCGAGCGUUAUCCGGAUUUAUUGGGUUUAAAGGGAGCGUAAGUGGACUGGUAAG
rnacentral:rRNA from 1 species